UGAAUACGAGAUACUACGGUGUCGAAGCAGUCUAUGUCAUACUUCCAAGAAAAGCUUGCACUGUCAUAAACAAAUAAUGCCUGUACCAUAACCGACACAGGUGGGUAGGUAGAGUAUACUAAGGGGCGCGAGAUAACUCUCUCUAAGGAACUCGGCAAAAUGACUCCGUAACUUCGGGAGAAGGAGUGCCUUAUAUUUAUAAGGUUGCAAUAACAAGAUCCAAGCAACUGUUUAUCAAAAACACAGGUCUCCGCUAAGUCGUAAGACGAUGUAUGGGGGCUGACGCCUGCCCAGUGCCAGAAGGUUAAAGAAGUUGGUUAGCUUUUGCGAAGCUGAUAACUGAAGCCCUGGUGAACGGCGGCCGUAACGAUAACGGUCCUAAGGUAGCGAAAUUCCUUGUCGGGUAAGUUCCGACCCGCACGAAAGGCGUAAUGAUUUGGAUACUGUCUCGGAGAGGGACUCGGUGAAAUAGACUUGUCUGUGAAGAUGCGGACUACUUGCACCAGGACAGAAAGACCCUAUGAAGCUUUACUGUAACCUGAAAUUGAAAUUGGACUUUACUUGCGCAGGAUAGGUGGGAGGCUUUGAGAAUAUUCUUGCGGGAAUAUUGGAGCCAUCAGUGAGAUACCACUCUGGUAAUGUUAGAUUUCUAACUUUGUAUCAUUAUCUGGUCAAAGAACAGUUUCAGGCGGGCAGUUUGACUGGGGCGGUCGCCUCCUAAACGGUAACGGAGGCGCACAAAGGUUUCCUCUGAACGGGUAGAAAUCGUAUCUAGAGUGUAAAGGCAUAAGGAAGCUUGACUGUGAGACCUACAAGUCGAGCAGGGACGAAAGUCGGUCUUAGUGAUCUGACGGUGCUGAGUGGAAAGGCCGUCACUCAACGGAUAAAAGUUACUCUAGGAUAACAGGCUGAUCUCCCCCAAGAGUUCACAUCGACGGGGAGGUUUGGCACCUCGAUGUCGGCUCAUCGCAUCCUGGGGCGGUAGUACGUCCCAAGGGUUGGGCUGUUCGCCCAUGAAAGCGGUACGCGAGCUGGGUUCAGAACGUCGUGAGACAGUUCGGUCCAUAUCCGGUGUAAGCGUUAGAAUAUUGAGAGGAGCCUUCUUUAGUACGAGAGGACCGAGAAGGAUGCACCGCUGGUGUACCAGUUAUUGUGCCAACAGUAAACGCUGGGUAGCUAUGUGUGGAGUGGAUAACCGCUGAAAGCAUCUAAGUGGGAAGCCCACCUCAAGAUAAGUA
rnacentral:rRNA from 1 species